rnacentral:rRNA from 1 species
UAGAGCGGCCGAUAUCUGAUUAGCUUGUUGGUGGGGUAAUGGCCUACCAAGGCGACGAUCAGUAGCUGGUCUGAGAGGACGAUCANCCACACUGGAACUGAGACACGGUCCAGACUCCUACGGGAGGCAGCAGUGGGGAAUUUUGGACAAUGGGGGCAACCCUGAUCCAGCCAUUCCGCGUGAGUGAAGAAGGCCUUCGGGUUGUAAAGCUCUUUCGCAAGAGAAGAAAACUUGCUAUCUAAUAAAUAGUAAGUAUGACGGUAUCUUGACAAGAAGCACCGGCUAACUACGUGCCAGCAGCCGCGGUAAUACGUAGGGUGCAAGCGUUAAUCGGAAUUACUGGGCGUAAAGCGUGCGCAGG